AGUUAAAAAUUUUAACCAUUUCUAUCUUUAAAAACCAACAUAGCUUACGAAAUAACAAGAAUAGCAUGCUGUGUGUACUUUAUGAUGCCAUACGAGGACCAAUUUUUAAUUCUAGAAUUGAUGAAAUUUUUUAACA
rnacentral:pre_miRNA from 1 species